UAUAAAUCCCAAUUGGCUUACUCAAAAGGAACUCCAAGUAUUCACUGAUGCCGAAUAAGGUUUAUAACAAACAACUAAGGCCCGGUCUUUUCACCUCCGAAUAAAUAUUCUCUUAUCUGGCAGUUGAGGAUAAAUAUUUAUUCGCCAGAUAAACUGUACCCGUCUUUUCACGUCAAUUUAUGUUCCAGUUAGUUAUCCGGUAGAUAAGCUUAAAACUUUAACUUAACCUAACAUAAUUAGAUUCAAAGUAUUUCAAAGAUGAUUUUAUCGAUUUUAUUUCCAUUUUGGAAGAAGGAAUGAAGGAAAUAAGGAAAACAUUGAUUAUGCUGAAAUAGUUUACUGGAGAGCUUGAACAAGAGGUAAAUCCAUUUUAAAUUAGAGGAAAACUGUUGAUUUGUAUGUAAAAUAGAAGACAAAGACAAGUUUAAAUAAAGACAAGCUAGCUAAUGAAACAGAUGCAGUGAUAUGACAAACACCUAGAAGAUGGAAUCCUGUGUUCUCAAAGAAAAAGCUAGUUCCAGAAAUAAGCUACCAAUAAUAAACUAGAGAAUGUAUUACAAGAAAGAACAACGCUAAUACCCAACAUAGCUCAAUUGCUUCAGAUAGAAAAAGAGGAGGAAAGGGUAGAACACAAGCGUGCCAGAGAAAAUUAAAGGGCAGAAGAGACACAAAAAUUCAUUGAUUUAUUAAAUUUAAUAAUUAAAUUAUACAAAGGACAAUUAAAUAAAGAAUAAAAAAUUA